UACGUAGGGUGCGAGCGUUAAUCGGAAUUACUGGGCGUAAAGCGUGCGCAGGCGGUUUGCUAAGACCGAUGUGAAAUCCCCGGGCUCAACCUGGGAACUGCAUUGGUGACUGGCAGGCUAGAGUAUGGCAGAGGGGGGUAGAAUUCCACGUGUAGCAGUGAAAUGCGUAGAGAUGUGGAGGAAUACCGAUGGCGAAGGCAGCCCCCUGGGCCAAUACUGACGCUCAUGCACGGAAGCGUGGGGAGCAAACAGG
rnacentral:rRNA from 1 species